GCUAGUAAUGGCAGGUCAGCAUACUGCCGUGAAUACGUUCCCGGGCCUUGUACACACCGCCCGUCACACCAUGAGAGUUGGAAAUACCCGAAGCCUGUGAGCUAACAGUAAUGAGGCAGCAGUCGAAGGUAGAGCCAAUGAUUGGGGUGAAGUCGUAACAAGGUAUC
rnacentral:rRNA from 1 species